rnacentral:lncRNA from 1 species
CUCUGUAUGCCCCCUAUGUUUCUAUAAUCAAGGUGAAGCAAUUGUAGUGGUAGUAUCCAUCUAUUUUUUUUUUUGGGACCAAAUUUGUAGUCUGCAUUUACUUUCAAAUUGUGAAGAUCAUACUCCCACAUAGUACGGUGUGAUUAUGUUUAACCUCUUGCUUCCUGAAGCGCCUAUCAGUGGCAAUUAGCUCCAGAACUUACAUCAUAGGCGCCUGCAACUUCGUGUACCGUUGUUGUGCUAUCUGAUAGUGGCUAGACAUAGUACAGUAGGAUUACAUGUGGGGAAGUUAGACAGGAGUCGAUUUAUCUGGACAUAGUAGCUCUUGCAAGUUAGACAGGAGUUGAUUUAUCUGGAAAAAUUAAAGAAAAGAUAGGAGUUGGUUUUACUCUGUUGAUGGUUAUGUUCUUACAUUCUACCACCAUGACUUUAUGCAGGAUUCGACAGAGUACAAGAGAAGGGUUCGCCAGCAGGCCAAGCAAUACCCACCUCUGGUCUAAUGCAAAACUGGGGUUGUAGCCCCAGACACUGCUGGUGCUUUGGUAAAUGUCAGUUGCCGCCUUUUGUUUGAAGCAUGUUAUGUCAAACAUCGUUGUUUGGAAGUGGUAGUUAGCAUCAUGUGUAGACUACGUGGUUAAGCUAUUUUCCCUGU